rnacentral:rRNA from 1 species
GUGGUUUAAUUCGAAGCAACGCGAAGAACCUUACCAAAUCUUGACAUCCUUUGACCGCUCUAGAGAUAGAGUUUUCCUCUUCGGAGGACAAAGUGACAGGUGGUGCAUGGUUGUCGUCAGCUCGUGUCGUGAGAUGUUGGGUUAAGUCCCGCAACGAGCGCAACCCUUGAACUUAGUUGCCAUCAUUCAGUUGGGCACUCUAAGUUGACUGCCGGUGACAAACCGGAGGAAGGUGGGGAUGACGUCAAAUCAUCAUGCCCCUUAUGAUUUGGGCUACACACGUGCUACAAUGGACAAUACAAAGGGCAGCGAAACCGCGAGGUCAAGCAAAUCCCAUAAAGUUGUUCUCAGUUCGGAUUGUAGUCUGCAACUCGACUACAUGAAGCUGGAAUCGCUAGUAAUCGUAGAUCAGCAUGCUACGGUGAAUACGUUCCCGGGUCUUGUACACACCGCCCGUCACACCACGAGAGUUUG